GCGCUGCACCACGGCGGCCACCUGCUGUGCGGUUCUGAGGGCUUCCGCGGUUCUGAGGGCUUCCGCGUCCCUGCCAUGCCCAUCUUGGGGCUUCAGAAGCCAACACGAUGGUUUUCGGGCUCACAUCCCAAAGGCUGCUCUUCCUUUUAGCACCUGGGACCUACCAGGAACCUCAACCUCUAACAACAUUGGUCCCCGUUACCGUGGAGUUUGCGCCCAGCGUUCGCUGGAGGGCCGUUUGAAGAAUGAUUGUUGUCGUAAAGGCCUUUGAUAAUAAUAGAUACUGUUUACCCAGUGCUUGAUGCCAGGCAUUGCUACAAACACUGCGUACACAUUAUUCUAUUUAAUCUUCAUAACCCAGUGAGGAUAUCAACCAGGAUAUGGCAUUGCAUUGGAUCCCAACCAGGAUAUGACGUUACAUUGGAUCCCAACCAGGAUAUGGCAUUGCACUGGAUCCCAACCAGGAUAUGGCAUUGCACUGGAUCCCAACCAGGAUAUGGCAUUGCGUUGGAUCCCAACCAGGUUAUGGCAUUACAUUGGAUCCCAACCAGGUUAUGGCAUUGCAUUGGAUCCCAACCAGGAUAUGACAUUGCAUUUACUCAUCACGCCUCCUUAGGUUCCUCUUGGCUGUGACGGUUUCUCAGACUAUCCUUGUUUUUUAGGACCUUGACAGUUUUGAGGCAUACUGGAGAGCUCAACGUGGGCGUUUCUUUCUGUAACAAGUAUGCAUCAUGGCUGGCUGACUCCUCCCCAUAACAAGCAGUUUAAAGGUGAACGGAAAUGGAUCUUGGCGAUAGCAGCUUUUGGAAGCCUAGGCGCGGCACAGAAGGUCAGACAGGAAUGGCUUGUCUUCCACUACAACAUGGGGCUUCAUCGGAAGCACCGCUGCUGAGGAACAACCACCUCCUCCUGACCAUCGCAAGCUGCCCAGGAAGACAUGCUCAUAGCAGUGUCCGUUUCCCUGCCUAACUUUCCACCAGAAGAUUCCUUCAUGUCUACGGGCGGACCCAGGCCGAUCUUGGAAUGCAUGUUUAAGUAUUGGAAAACCCAAGCAUUGACUCUCCAGACCAGCCUCGCACCUAAGAACGCCGUGGGAUGCAGUUUCAGACAGUGAGAAAUCUGCUGGGGAUGCCUGGGAAAGGGACAUACCUGGCAGGUGCCGCUCCAUGGCCUUCUUGCUGCCUUGAAUUGGGACAUGAGCCUGAGUCGCAGCAGCCGUCUUGUGACUGAGAGGUGGCAAGCAGGAGGAAGAGGCUAAGAGAAUAGAGACACUGUUGAGCUGCUGAAGCACAGCAAGCGGCCACUUCUCUAUGCUUCUUGCUAUUUGACUGUUAAGCUAGUGCAAGUUACUUUUCUGGUCAGAAUGAAUUCAUAACUGAAACAUG
rnacentral:lncRNA from 1 species